CUUCUCUUGAGAGCGGCGGACGGGUGAGUAAUACCUAGGAAUCUGCCUGAUAGUGGGGGAUAACGUUCGGAAACGGACGCUAAUACCGCAUACGUCCUACGGGAGAAAGCAGGGGACCUUCGGGCCUUGCGCUAUCAGAUGAGCCUAGGUCGGAUUAGCUAGUUGGUGAGGUAAUGGCUCACCAAGGCUACGAUCCGUAACUGGUCUGAGAGGAUGAUCAGUCACACUGGAACUGAGACACGGUCCAGACUCCUACGGGAGGCAGCAGUGGGGAAUAUUGGACAAUGGGCGAAAGCCUGAUCCAGCCAUGCCGCGUGUGUGAAGAAGGUCUUCGGAUUGUAAAGCACUUUAAGUUGGGAGGAAGGGCAUUAACCUAAUACGUUAGUGUUUUGACGUUACCGACAGAAUAAGCACCGGCUAACUCUGUGC
rnacentral:rRNA from 1 species